UACGUAGGGUGCGAGCGUUGUCCGGAAUUAUUGGGCGUAAAGGGCUCGUAGGCGGUCUGUCGCGUCGGCUGUGAAAACCCGGAGCUCAACUCCGGGCCUGCAGUCGAUACGGGCAAACUGGAGUGUUGCAGGGGAGACUGGAAUUCCUGGUGUAGCGGUGGAAUGCGCAGAUAUCAGGAGGAACACCGGUGGCGAAGGCGACUUACUGGACAACUGUUGACGCUGAGGUGCGAAAGCGUGGGGAGCAAACAGG
rnacentral:rRNA from 1 species